ACGCUAUGAUGGGGGAACUGUCUCAUCAUACUUUUGAAUCUAUUCCAGGCUUCAAAUAAUGUUUAUCAGUCUACCUGUUUGAAGCUUGCAAUCAGAUUCCUCAUAU